rnacentral:rRNA from 1 species
UACGUAGGGUGCGAGCGUUGUCCGGAAUUAUUGGGCGUAAAGAGCUCGUAGGUGGUUUGUCGCGUUGUCCGUGAAAACUCACAGCUUAACUGUGGGCGUGCGGGCGAUACGGGCAGACUGGAGUACUGCAGGGGAGACUGGAAUUCCUGGUGUAGCGGUGGAAUGCGCAGAUAUCAGGAGGAACACCGGUGGCGAAGGCGGGUCUCUGGGCAGUAACUGACGCUGAGGAGCGAAAGCGUGGGGAGCGAACAGG